GUUAAAAAUGCCUGAAACCAAACAGAGCUUGCUUCUUAAAUAACUCAGAGAUAAUGUGAUGCAAUUUACAGAUGAGUGAGCUCCGAACUGAAUGUUACCACCUUUUAAGAUCAAAAAAGGCAGGAUUAAGGGACCUAGAUUGCGUUUUGCGACAGCGAUGUUUUAUUCCAGUGAGCUGGACGUGGCUCUUUUAGGGAUUUUCAUGUACAUACCUCUCCACCACUUCAAGUUCCACCCAUUUCCAACCUGCAGACUGGCCUCCAGUUACGAGAACCUCCACUCUGCCUGCCCCGCUCUGCUGAGAAGUGUCUUUUGGCCCUGACCUUCCCACUCAGUGUUUAUCUAUUCUGUGAAAGACUUUUAGUCUUUCAGAGGUCUGCCCUUUUUGCUGGGAAACAACUAAUUUGAACCAAGAUGCUGAUGAGCGGUGUUAGGAUUUGUCUUUAAUUAGCGGUCAUUUGAAACCAGCAGACAAGCAAGGGUGCAGAACACUUCCCAGCCCCUCCGCAGUCACAUUAGAUGCCUCCACUCUUGGACAAGGCAGCUCCUAGCAGCAUCACCCCUUCAUAGCUGUUCAAGCUGAGGAAGGCCUUCGAUAGAGACAUCACUGAAAAUGCCAUACUGUGCCUGAAAUCUGCUGAAAACACAACUCACCUCAUGGAUCUCAAAAUAUCUCUGAGCCAGUCAGUGCAAAACCAGAGAUGAAGAAAUGGAGAUGAGAGAAGAUAAAUGACUUUCUCAACUUCCCAGAGCCAGCAUGAGAAGCCACAUCUUGUGAAUAACUGACUCUCUCCACUACAUCUUCUUCUCUGCUACGUAUUCAAUGUCAGGGGUCUCAGCCCCUACCCCCAAGAGAGACAAGGUAAAAGAACAAGGUGAGGCACCAUCAGGGUCCUUGCUUUUGAGCAUGAAAGCCUCACACUCCUACACUCAAUAUCCACAACACAAAACAUGAGCCUGUAAGGAGAUCCCCAGAGCCAACCAAAGCUUGGGUAAAAGGAGAUACUACCUGGCUCUGCCAGGUAUUCAAUAUAGAAGUCCUCAGACUCUCUCCUCUCUGCUCAUAGACCACCCUCAGUUUCUCCCAAUUGAAGUGUGUAAGAAUGAACUGGGGCCUACCUUGCCUCCAUUGGCCUUGAACCUUCAGGGUCCCGGUUUCUUCUGCAUGUAGAUCAUUUCCUAGGAACUGCUCUGCCUCCUGAGCCCCAGAUACAGCAUUUCUUGGGAUGAUCAACGUUCAUACAGAUCAGCACUGCUCCUGCCACCAAAAUUCUCCAUAGGCGCCCUUAAAUAAAUACAAUUCUUACA